rnacentral:rRNA from 1 species
ACGUGAUCUGAGUUCAGACCGGAGUAAUCCAGGUCAGUUUCUAUCUAUAACUGAGUUCUCCCUAGUACGAAAGGACCGAGAAAACAUGGCCAAUACUAAUAGCAAGCCAUAACCCCCAACCUAUGUAGCCAACUCAACUAAUAUGGAAUCUACCAAAUAGCUUAAGAACAAAGC